GCCUUGAGGAAACCCUACAAACGACAUCCCUGGAAAAAUCCCUUGGAAAAAGGAGAGGGGCAGAGGUUGGACAUGCAGAGUGUCCAUGGAGAGGGCAUCGUGUGGCAGGAGGCAGCAGGUGACUCCUGGUGGCUUUUCUGCUGUCCCCGUGCUGCCACUUUCUGUACCAGUCCUCACCCAAACUCUGCAGGGACAAAGGGAAAGGGAAAGGGAAAGGGAAAGGGAAAGGGAAAGGGAAAGGGAAAGGGAAAGGGAAAGGGAAAUGGGAAUGGGAAAGGGAAAGGGAAAUGGGAAUGGGAAAGGGAAAUGGGAAUGGGAAAGGGAAAUGGGAAUGGGAAAGGAAAAGGAAAAUGGGAAUGGGAAAGGGAAAUGGGAAUGGGAAAGGAAAAGGAAAAUGGGAAUGGAAAAGGAAAAUGGGAAUAGAAAAGGAAAAGGAAAAGGGGGAAAAAAGGGGGAAAAAGGGGAAAAAAGGGGAAAAAAGGGGAAAAUGGGGGAAAUGGGGGGAAAAAGGGGAAAAAAGGGGAAAAAAGGGGAAAAUGGGGGAAAUGGGGGGAAAAAGGGGGAAAAAGGGGGAAAAAGGGAAAAAAGGGAAAGGAAAAAAAAGGAAAAGGAAAAGGAAAAAGGACCAAAGCAGAAAUGUCGUGGUUUGACACAGAAAAAGAAUUUUCCCAUGUCAAACCACGACAAGAAAGAAAAGAGAAAGGGGGAAAAAAAAGGGAUGAAAGCAGAGGAAGCUGCUCCAGCCCCAGUGAGUGUGCCUAGGACACAUCCAACUGCUCCCUGAAGGAAAAGGGAAAAUUUUCCUUCCAGAACACCAAAGAAUGGGGGACUGAAGUGCCAGAAGAUGAGUUAUGAGAGUCACCCGCUCUUUAGGGCCACUACCCACAUUUUGUGCUCUCAGGCUCUCUGCACACAAACCAGAGACAGAUUCCACCUCCCCUUGCUUGGUCUUUUUUCCCCCUCCUUUUCUCCUUCCUCUCACUUUUUUCCCUGGCCCUGGUUUUUGUCAGGUUUUGGGGAGCUCUUUUCUUUUAUCCCUCAGUC
rnacentral:lncRNA from 1 species